rnacentral:rRNA from 1 species
AGAGUUGAUUCUGGCUCAGGAUGAACGCUGGCGGCGUGCUUAACACAUGCAAGUCGAACGAAGCUAAGGGAGCUUGCUCCCAAAGCUAGUGGCGGACGGGUGAGUAACGCGUGGGUAACCUGCCCUAUAGAGGGGGAUAACGUUCGAAACGAACGGCUAAUACCGCAUAAACCAUAAAGAGCUGCAUGGCUCUGAUGGCAAAGAUUUAUCGCUAUAGGAUGGACCUGCGUUGGAUUAGCUAGUUGGUGAGAUAACAGCUCACCAAGGCGACGAUCCAUAGCCGGCCUGAGAGGGUGAACGGCCACAUUGGGACUGAGACACGGCCCAAACUCCUACGGGAGGCAGCAGUGGGGAAUAUUGCACAAUGGGCGCAAGCCUGAUGCCAGCGACGCCGCGUGAAGGAAGAAGGUCUUCGGAUUGUAAACUUCUAUCAGCAGGGAAGAAUAAAUGACGGUACCUGACUAAGAAGCCCCGGCUAACUACGUGCCAGCAGCCGC